AGGGGUAAGGGGACAGGGAUACUGGAGUGAUGGAGGUAGAUAUGUAUAGGGGGAAGGAGACAGGGAUACUGGAGUGAUGGAGGUAGAUAUGUAUAGGGGGAAGGAGACUAUAUACAGGGUCAAUUCCAGUUUAUUUUUGUCACUGGAGGUUGGUGGCACCUUAAAUGGGGAGGACAUUCUCAUAGUAAUGGCUGGAACAGAAUAAAUGGAAUGGUAUCAAACACACAGUUUCUAUGGUUUCCAUGUGUUAUUACCACUCCAUACCAGACGUUAUUACGAGAGAGAGGGGAGGAAGAGGGGACAGAAGGGAGGAAGGAGAGA
rnacentral:lncRNA from 1 species